GCGGAUCUUGAUCGGUAGAAAAUGUGCUGUAACGCCCCCCAAAAUCGGGACUAUUUUCCUUCCCGAUCUUGUGCGUUAAUAUUAUCCUGUUCUAGCUUUAAAACAUUAUUUAAUGUUAAAAUAGUUAAAAAUGCGGAAUAAUUUUUUUUUCUUUCUUUCCAUUCAUUCAUUCCCUAAAUCGCAACCUUUACAAUUCUUCUUUAUACUAGAAUCAUAUUUAUUACAUGAUUUAUUUAACCUGAGUAGAUAUGGAUAUAUGUACAAUUCAUUAUUUCAAACAUAUUCCUAAUUCAGAACAAAUGAUCUUCAUCUAUUGAAUUAUUCAAAGAUUUACUUCUUUGUGGUUUACACAUGUAAAUACCAUCAAAUGAUUCAACACCAUCUCAAUUAAAUCACUAGUCUUCUUUUCAUGCGCUCCUAAUCACGAUCAUAGCUUUAACCUGCAAAUUAAGCAAGAUUGAGCACGGCGGCCCAGCAAGUCUAACAGUCUAUCAUGCAUCACAUAUCACAUAUGUUCACAUUCAGUUCAUGCAUUUAUAUUCUUGGGGUUCAAGCAUAUUACAAAUGCAUCAUCACAUUUAUAUCCUGCUGGUAGCAACAUAAAUAUCAUAGCAUACUACACAUGUCAUGUACAUGUCAUUCAUUGCACAUAUAUAUUGAGUUCCCCGACUCAAUUCAAUAAUUAGUCAUAAUUUGACAUUCAUCAUUCACAAAGCAAAUAAUGUAGUUCAUAGGUAUUACAUACUUAUAAACAUAAAUCAUACUAACAGUUAAUCAUAGCAAUUAUAAGUUCACAUAAAUAAACUGAGAAACUUGCCUUGUUCAAUGACUAUUGAUACAAACUUUAGUUUAACUUCACUUCACGAAUCCUACACAGUUAUGUUCACAUGUAUGCAUACAUUAGUCACACAUUCAUAUCCCAUAACCUGUAUAGCUAACAAACAUUCACAAAAACUAUAUCAAUAUCUGAUAUUCUUAUUUCUGAGAAACUUCCAUAUUCCUUUAAAAUAUUUUAGGUUUCGACUUAAUAUAGCCAUACAUUCUCAAAAAGUUCUAACACAACUUUUAAAAUGUCAAUUCAUUACAUUUACAAUUUAUAACCCUUUUUAAAAGUAUUUACAGACUUUACACGCAUUUAUAUGUAGACUUGUUGUCAUAUAGUGCAUCUGUGCCUUUACUAUGCGUAAUUAUGGCUUAUUUCCGCUUUUGUGAGUAAUUUAAAUGCUAUUCCAUACGAAUAUUAGUUUUCUAGGCUUAAUGCAUUCAUAAUACAUUACUUUUCCCCCUUUCAUGUACACAUGAGGUAUAUAUAUGCUUUUGCAUAUACGCCUCUCUUCUAAUGUCAAACCUUGCCUCAUUUGCUUGGCUUGUAGGGUAGACAUAUGCUAUGUGUAUGUCUUUUACCUACACAUAGCUUAUUUAUGUCAAAAGUUGAGUUUUCAACUCCGUUUGCAUAAUCAUCGCCUUGUAUUUUGAAAACCGUUUAGUUUCAAGUACAAUUUUAAAAUAACUUUGCACACUGUCCACGUAUUCCUGAUAUAUGGAUAUAUUAUCCAUAUAUAUGUAAACUCAUGUUUACAUAUCGUUUUUAUAGAUUUUGGAAUGCUCUGAAUGCAUAUACUUGUCAUAUGGUUGUUAGACUGUGUUUUAUAUCUGUCUUGGGGCAUCAGGACAUGCCUAACUUCUUUUUCCAACUUUUAAUAAUUAUAAUUACAUAUAAAAACAUAUUAGUUGUGCGUCCAUGUCAUAUAACCUGUAUAGUUAUAUAUAUUACAUUUCCAUAUUGGCCAUAUCAAUAGCUUUCAUUCUUGUUUUUGAAAAACUCUUAUAUUCUCUUCAAAAACUUUUAUUCUUUUACUUACGAUAGUCAUUUAUCGCUUAAUAGUCUUUGACAUGGCUUUUAAAUAUUCUAUGAUUUUGGUUUAUAAACCAUUUGUAAUUUAUUACAUAGUUAUCUCGCACUUUUAUACAUAUUCUAAGUAUAUAAAGUGAACUUGUAGUUUCCUUUAUACUUUGAGCAUAGAUAUAGUCUAUAUAGAUAAAUUAUAGCUUCCAUACUAUUUUAUAGACUCAUUUCCAUAAACUAUCGCAUUAAAAACCACCGCGUUUCAUUGGAACGCCGAAACAGCCCAUUGACCCAAUAAUGCCGACAACCAAGCCUUACUUGAUUGGGCAGCCCCAAGCUCACGACACCUACCUUUACUAAUUUUUUUAUCUUCUAAACUACCAACUCAAUUGUAUUGAAUUGUAAAUACUUUAUAACUCAUGUACUUGUUUCUUUAGGAAUUUAGAAACUAAAAUUGAUGGAUGAUUUAUCCACUUAAAUCGCAAAAGCCAAAAUAGCUCAUCAAAUAGCCACAACUGAUGUGUUACAGCUGACUGCUGCUGCCGUUGGGCAGCAGCUCCCUCCUUCUUGACUCUCGUUUCGCUAAUUUCUAUCCUCCGUUAAUGAUCCGUUUAUAUUGAAGUUUGGAUGUAAUAUAGGUGGUAUACCCACCUAUUUUAGAAAAAUACUGACUGUAUGAUUUGAGCAACUAAACAACGAAAGAACAAGCUAAAACAAUCCCAGCAAAUUGCAGCAGCACGGCGUAGCACCGUGCGCGCGCACCUGCACAUAGCUGCUGAUGGGCUGCCUUGCAGUCUUCAUGACUAACACAACCCCUUUGCGAUUUUAUUAUGUCCAGCUCGCACGUCGGAUAGCUACCAAAUUUUAAUAUGAUUUAGAUUCCAUAGAAGGCUAUUUUUAAAAAAUACGAGUCCCCCAUUUCAGACUCUUUAAGCUGCUCAAAACAGACUCCAAAACUGGCUUGACACACUAGUUUUUAAUUUUUUCCAGCUUUACCCUCUCUCGCUAAAAUAGUCAUAACUAAUUCGUUUUAAAACAUUUUUGAGUGAUUCUUGCGCCCACGCGAAGCUAACUUCCGGGGCUACGACUCUUAUUCAAUAAACUUUUCCAUGUUCUGCACCCAUAAUUCCAGAAAAUCCGCGCAAGGGACAGGUUCAAACCUGAUUUCUAAAUUUUGGACAGAUUCGACACACUCACUUUGGAAUGCCAUAACUCCCUCCUCCGAAGUCGGAAUUAUUCCGUUUCGGAGUCUAUGGAAAGCUUAUUCAACGUACUAUAAUACCCCAAAAGCCCAGAAUUUUCUGGAAACUCUAGCUAGCCCCGAAUUUGUCCUUAGGGUCAACAGUUCACAAUUUUUUUCGGUUUCUAACAUGUUUUACUAAAGCCUUUACUAUAAAUUCGUUUUAGUUCCUUUUUGAUUCAUUCCAAUUGGAUUAUUUCCAGAACUCGUAGGAGCACAACCCACCAUUAUAAAACUUAAAUUUUCAAUUCUAUACCCUCAUAAACUUUGGCUCAAGAACAGCCCCCUAAAACAGUUUUAACUAAUUUGUUUUACAUGUUUUACUAAGAAAUCCGUCAAGAUUUCGUUACAACGGAUUUUUCCCUCGUUCCAAUUGGGUUGUGUUCAUAACUCAUAAGAGUACCACACAUUAUCCCAGAACUUAAUUUUUCAGUUUCAGAGCGCAACACAAAUUGGUCCAAAAUAGUCCACUAGUUGUCCAAUUUAAGCUUAUUAGUCUCUAAGAGGCCUUAAAGCAAACACCAUAUGUGCAUCAGUUUUAGAAACAAGUUUCACACGUUUGUACAUGGUUUUACCCCAAAAAUUUCUUUCUUUAUAAUUCCUAAUGACCUGCAUAAAGUCCCUUAACCAACACAGCUCAACCAAAACCAACAUAACAGUUUUAUCAUCAUUCACAUAUGUAUUUACUAACUUCAUAUAAAUAUAGCAUGAACAUAUGGCUUACCUUGCUUACUUAAUGUUCAUGUUGAAAUUCUAGCUUUGAUGAUCAAUUAUAGAAAUCCUUUUAUUGCUAUGUGCUUCAGUUCUUCUUCAAGUCAGUACAACACUUCAAUUCCUUGCUAAUUUCGUUGGGUCUAGCCAAAAUUGAGAGAAAUUUGGUGAAGGUUUGAGAAUUGUGCAAACUUAAUAGUUAGAGAAAAAGAGAGAUGAACUGGAACGAAUUGAAGAGGGAAUGAGGACUGCAAAUAGUUUUUUUUGAGUGUUUAACUCUUUCUAACUUCCUUGCUCUCCUCUCUCUUUCUCCCAUUCACGACAACAAGAAGGGAGGAGAAAGAUAAAUAACGCCCAGCUUGGUCACCAAGCUUGCAA
rnacentral:lncRNA from 1 species